GCGCCCGUAGCUCAGCCGGAUAGAGCGUCUGACUACGAAUCAGAAGGUCGGGAGUUCGAAUCUCUCCGGGCGCA
rnacentral:tRNA from 2 species